AACGAACGUUAGCGGCGCGCCUAACACAUGCAAGUCGCACGAGAAAGGGCUUCGGCUCCGGUAAAGUGGCGCACGGGUGAGUAACACGUGGGUAACCUGCCCUCGAGCGGGGGAUAACAUUCCGAAAGGAGUGCUAAUACCGCAUAAGACCACGACCUCGAAAGAGGAUGGGGUCAAAGCUGGCCUCCAUACAUAAGCUAGCACUUGAGGAUGGGCCGGCGGCGCAUCAGCUAGUUGGGGAGGUAACGGCUCACAAAGGCGAAGACGCGUAGCUGGUCUGAGAGGAUGAUCAGCCACACUGGAACUGAGACACGGUCCAGACUCCUACGGGAGGCAGCAGUGGGGAAUCCUGCGCAAUGGGCGAAAGCCUGACGCAGCGACGCCGCGUGAGUGAUGAAGGCCUUCGGGUUGUAAAGCUCUGUGGGGCGAGACGAAUAAGUGCAGCCUAAUACGUUGCAUGAUGACGGUAUCGCCUUAGCAAGCACCGGCUAACUCUGUGCCAGCAGCCGCAGUAA
rnacentral:rRNA from 1 species